rnacentral:lncRNA from 1 species
AUGACGUCAAUUCUCUCCAAAUUGAUUGAUAAAUUCUGCAAAUUCCCUAUCAAAAUCCCAGCAGGUUUAGUGGACAAUGUCACUUCCUGUUCUGAUUAUUCUCAUUAUCUAUUGCUGUGUGAUAAACAAUGGCUUUUUAUUACUUUUAUGGUUCUGUGGGUUUACUGGGCUCACCUGGGUGGUUCUUGGCUUGGAUCCUUUUCAGCCAGAGUUCUCCAGAGAAAAAGAACCAAUUAUAGACAUAGGUAUAUAUAUGUGUGUGUGUGUGUGUGUGUGUGUGU